GACGAACGCUGGCGGCGUGCCUAAUACAUGCAAGUAGAACGCUGAAGGAGGAGCUUGCUUCUCUGGAUGAGUUGUGAACGGGUGAGUAACGCGUAGGUAACCUGCCUGGUAGCGGGGGAUAACUAUUGGAAACGAUAGCUAAUACCGCAUAAGAGUAGAUGUUGCAUGACAUUUGCUUAAAAGGUGCAAUUGCAUCACUACCAGAUGGACCUGCGUUGUAUUAGCUAGUUGGUGGGGUAACGGCUCACCAAGGCGACGAUACAUAGCCGACCUGAGAGGGUGAUCGGCCACACUGGGACUGAGACACGGCCCAGACUCCUACGGGAGGCAGCAGUAGGGAAUCUUCGGCAAUGGACGGAAGUCUGACCGAGCAACGCCGCGUGAGUGAAGAAGGUUUUCGGAUCGUAAAGCUCUGUUGUAAGAGAAGAACGAGUGUGAGAGUGGAAAGUUUCACACUGUGACGUAUCUACCCAGA
rnacentral:rRNA from 1 species